GACACUGUGCCCGAGCUGGUCUAAGGGGUGAGACUCAAGUUGUCAUGGCUUACAGUCACAUGGGUUCAAAUCCCAUCGGUGUCA
rnacentral:tRNA from 1 species